rnacentral:rRNA from 1 species
GAUGAACGCUGGCGGCGUGCUUAACACAUGCAAGUCGAACGAAGCACUUUAUUACGAUUUCUUCGGAAUGACGAUUUAGUGACUGAGUGGCGGACGGGUGAGUAACGCGUGGGUAACCUGCCUUAUACAGGGGGACAACAGUUGGAAACGACUGCCAAUACCGCAUAAGCGCACAGUACCGCAUGGUACAGAGCGAAAAAACUCCGGUGGUAUAGGAUGGGCCCGCGUCUGAUUAGUUAGUUGGCGGUGUAACGGACCACCAAGACGACGAUCAGUAGCCGGCUUGAGAGAGUGAACGGCCACAUUGGGACUGAGACACGGCCCAAACUCCUACGGGAGGCAGCAGUGGGGAAUAUUGCACAAUGGGGGAAACCCUGAUGCAGCAACGCCGCGUGAGUGAAGAAGUAUUUCGGUAUGUAAAGCUCUAUCAGCAGGGAAGAAAAUGACGGUACUGACUAAGAAGCCCCGGCUAACUACGUG